rnacentral:lncRNA from 1 species
GUUCCAGGCGGCUGAGCGGGAUGGCGCGGCCGAAGGCCUAGCGCCGCUGGUCGCGACCCAGACCAGAAAACAGCAGCAGACGGCAGCGAACUCGCCGGAAUCCAGUUGCAGUCGGCGGCGGACUCCAGCGGCUCCCAGUCGACGGUGCUCGCCGGAAUCCAGUUGCAGCGGCGGCGGAUUCCUCGGCUGGAUACAGAUCGAGAGAGAGAGAGAACCGAAGGGAGCGUUUGAUUUAGGAGAGAUUAGAGAGAGAGAGAGGAUAAGGAGGAAGAGGCAGGUGCGGCCACGCCGGACCUAGGCACAGCGACAGCCGACGCCGGUCGGAGCAGAGAAGGAGCUCGACUGAUUUUGAGGAAGGACUCGACUGGAUCGAGAGAGAGAGAGAGAGA